AUUGAACGCUGGCGGCAUGCCUUACACAUGCAAGUCGAACGGCAGCACGGGUGCUUGCACCUGGUGGCGAGUGGCGAACGGGUGAGUAAUACAUCGGAACAUGUCCUGUAGUGGGGGAUAGCCCGGCGAAAGCCGGAUUAAUACCGCAUACGAUCUACGGAUGAAAGCGGGGGACCUUCGGGACUCGCGCUAUCGGGUUGGCCGAUGGCUGAUUAGCUAGUUGGUGGGGUAAAGGCCUACCAAGGCGACGAUCAGUAGCUGGUCUGAGAGGACGACCAGCCACACUGGGACUGAGACACGGCCCAGACUCCUACGGGAGGCAGCAGUGGGGAAUUUUGGACAAUGGGCGAAAGCCUGAUCCAGCAAUGCCGCGUGUGUGAAGAAGGCCUUCGGGUUGUAAAGCACUUUUGUCCGGAAAGAAAUCCUUGGCCCUAAUACGGUCGGGGGAUGACGGUACCGGAAGAAUAAGCACCGGCUAACUACGUG
rnacentral:rRNA from 1 species